ACGUACACUCCUACGGGAGGCAGCAGUGAGGAAUAUUGGACAAUGGGUGGAAGCCUGAUCCAGCCAUCCCGCGUGCAGGAAGACGGCCCUAUGGGUUGUAAACUGCUUUUAUCUGGGGAUAAACCUACUUACGUGUAAGUAGCUGAAGGUACCAGAAGAAUAAGCACCGGCUAACUCCGUGCCAGCAGCCGCGGUAAUACGGAGGGUGCAAGCGUUAUCCGGAUUUAUUGGGUUUAAAGGGUCCGUAGGCGGACUGAUAAGUCAGUGGUGAAAUCCGACAGCUUAACUGUCGAACUGCCAUUGAUACUGUUAGUCUUGAGUAAGGUUGAAGUGGCUGGAAUAAGUAGUGUAGCGGUGAAAUGCAUAGAUAUUACUUAGAACACCAAUUGCGAAGGCAGGUCACUAAGUCUUAACUGACGCUGAUGGACGAAAGCGUGGGGAGCGAACAGGAUUAGAAACCCUUGUAUCCCA
rnacentral:rRNA from 1 species